CGGAGAGAGUGAGGAGGCUGCGUCUGGCUCCCGCUCUCACAGCCAUUGCAGUAUAUUGAGCUCCAUAGAGACAGCGCCGGGGCAAGCGCGAGCCAGACGGGCACUGGGCGACUCUGUGCCUCGCGGAGGAAAAUCAACUAAACAUGGGCAAAGGAGAUCCUAAGAAGCCGAGAGGCAAAAUGUCCUCAUAUGCAUUCUUUGUGCAAACCUGCCGGGAGGAGCACAAGAAGAAGCACCCGGAUGCUUCUGUCAACUUCUCAGAGUUCUCCAAGAAGUGCUCAGAGAGGUGGAAGACCAUGUCUGCUAAAGAAAAGGGGAAAUUUGAAGAUAUGGCAAAGGCUGACAAGGCUCGUUAUGAAAGAGAAAUGAAAACCUACAUCCCCCCCAAAGGGGAGACCAAAAAGAAGUUCAAGGACCCCAAUGCACCCAAGAGGCCUCCUUUGGCCUUCUUCUUGUUCUGUUCUGAGUACCGCCCCAAAAUCAAAGGAGAGCAUCCUGGCUUAUCCAUUGGUGAUGUUGCAAAGAAACUAGGAGAGAUGUGGAACAACACUGAAGCAGAUGACAAGCAGCCCUAUGAGAAGAAGGCUGCCAAGCUGAAGGAGAAGUACGAGAAGGAUAUUGCUGCCUACAGAGCUAAAGGAAAACCUGAUGCAGCGAAAAAGGGGGUGGUCAAGGCUGAAAAGAGCAAGAAAAAGAAGGAAGAGGAAGAUGAUGAGGAGGAUGAAGAGGAUGAGGAAGAGGAGGAAGAAGAGGAAGAUAAAGAUGAAGAAGAAGAUGAUGAUGAUGAAUAAGUUGGUUCUAGCGCAGUUUUUUUUUCUUGUCUAUAAAGCAUUUAACCCCCCUGUACACAACUCACUCCUUUUAAAGAAAAAAAUUGAAAUG